rnacentral:rRNA from 1 species
GAUCAUGGCUCAGGAUGAACGCUGGCGGCGUGCCUAAUACAUGCAAGUCGAGCGAACAGACGAGGAGCUUGCUCCUUUGACGUUAGCGGUGGACGGGUGAGUAACACGUGGAUAACCUACCUAUAAGACUGGGAUAACUUCGGGAAACCGGAGCUAAUACCGGAUAACAUGUUGAACCGCAUGGUUCAACAGUGAAAGACGAUCUUGCUGUCUAACUUAGUAGAGUGGACUCCGCCGGCCG